rnacentral:rRNA from 2 species
UACCCGCUGAACUUAAGCAUAUCAAUAAGCGGAGGAAAAGAAACCAACAGGGAUUGCCCUAGUAACGGCGAGUGAAGCGGCAACAGCUCAAAUUUGAAAUCUGGCCUCGGCCCGAGUUGUAAUUUGCAGAGGAUGUUUCUGGCGCGGUGCCUUCCGAGUUCCCUGGAACGGGACGCCACAGAGGGUGAGAGCCCCGUAUGGUUGGACACCAAGCCUGUGUGAAACUCCUUCGACGAGUCGAGUAGUUUGGGAAUGCUGCUCUAAAUGGGAGGUAAAUCUCUUCUAAAGCUAAAUACCGGCCAGAGACCGAUAGCGCACAAGUAGAGUGAUCGAAAGAUGAAAAGCACCUUGAAAAGGGGGUUAAACAGUACGUGAAAUUGUUGAAAGGGAAGCGCUCAUGACCAGACUUGUGCCGGGCGGUUCAUCCGGGGUUCUCCCCGGUGCACUCCGCCCGGUUCAGGCCAGCAUCGGUUCUCGUUGGGGGAUAAGAACGGUAGGAACGUGGCCCUCCCUCGGGAGGGUGUUAUAGCCUGCCGUACGAUACCCUGAUGGGGACCGAGGUUCGCGCUCCGCAAGGAUGCUGGCGUAAUGGUCAUCAGCGACCCGUCUUGAAACACGGACCAAGGAGUCGUCCAUUAGAGCGAGCGUUUGGGUGUAAAACCCGCACGCGUAAUGAAAGUGAAAUUAGGUGAGAGCUUCGGCGCAUCAUCGACCGAUCCUGAUGUUCUCGGAUGGAUUUGAGUAAGAGUUUUAACGGACGGACCCGAAAGACAGUGAACUAUGCUUGUAUAGGGUGAAGCCAGAGGAAACUCUGGUGGAGGCUCGCAGCGGUUCUGACGUGCAAAUCGAUCGUCAAAUAUGAGCAUGGGGGCGAAAGACUAAUCGAACUGUCUAGUAGCUGGUUACCGCCGA